rnacentral:rRNA from 1 species
AUUGAACGCUGGCGGCAUGCUUUACACAUGCAAGUCGAACGGUAACAGGCCUUCGGGCGCUGACGAGUGGCGAACGGGUGAGUAAUGCAUCGGAACGUGCCCAGUCGUGGGGGAUAACGCAGCGAAAGCUGUGCUAAUACCGCAUACGAUCUGCGGAUGAAAGCGGGGGACCUUCGGGCCUCGCGCGAUUGGAGCGGCCGAUGUCAGAUUAGGUAGUUGGUGGGGUAAAGGCUCACAAAGCCAACGAUCUGUAGCUGGUCUGAGAGGACGACCAGCCACACUGGGACGGAGACACGGCCCAGACUCCUACGGGAGGCAGCAGUGGGGAAUUUUGGACAAUGGGCGCAAGCCUGAUCCAGCAAUGCCGCGUGCAGGAAGAAGGCCUUCGGGUUGUAAACUGCUUUUGUACGGAGCGAAAAGGCUCCCUCUAAUACAGGGGGCUCAUGACGGUACCGUAAGAAUAAGCACCGGCUAACUACGUGCCAGCCGCCGCCGUAAGAC